UUACUAUUUUUUUGCCUACCCUCUCUUUUUCAAAAUUGCUUAUGGUCAUCCUAUUAUUUUAGAGUUGACAAGUGUCUAGGAAGGUACCUUUUUUCUAUUAUCCGAUAUCAGACACAAGUCUUGUCAUAGAUAUGAUCUACGGAAAAAUCAGCAUCCGAAUACCCAGUUGAAUUAUUUACAAUUCAUAUCAUUACUCAUACUCAUACUCAUACUAACAGAGUAUUUUUUUGAAAGAUUUGAAGAUCAAAGAGAUUCCCGCUUCUUUAAUAAUACAAUACUUAAUUAAUACUUAAUACUUUAGAAUGCUUAAGACUUUGCCCCUUUCUUUUUUUAAUUGACAUAGACCCAAGCCCUCGCGUAAAAUGAGUAUGAUGCAUCAGAUCAGAUCAGGA
rnacentral:misc_RNA from 1 species